UAUCAAGUCAUACUGAUAACCAUAUUCUGAAGCUCAACUGAAACCAAGUACAAUAUUUGAACAAGCAUAUAGGUGUAUGGUACAUAAAAGUUUACAAUCAUCAAAGGACACAUGAUAAAAGUUUACAAUCAUCAAAGGACAUAUGAUAAAAGUUCACAAUCAUCAAAGAACAUAUGAUAAAAGUUUACAAACAUCAAAGGACAUAUGAUGGACUGCUCCGUUGCUCCUCUAAUCAUCAUCUCCAUGGUGGCGUCUCUUCCUCUUUUCUGAUUUUUUGGUAUCCCUACCCUUCCUUGAACCAUUAUAUCCAUCACCCGAA
rnacentral:lncRNA from 1 species